rnacentral:rRNA from 1 species
CUUGACGCUCAGGUGCGAAAGCGUGGGGAGCAAACAGGAUUAGAUACCCCUGGUAGUCCACGCUGUAAACGAUGUCGAUUUAGAGGUUGUGGUCUUGAACCGUGGCUUCUGGAGCUAACGCGUUAAAUCGACCGCCUGGGGAGUACGGCCGCAAGGUUAAAACUCAAAUGAAUUGACGGGGGCCCGCACAAGCGGUGGAGCAUGUGGUUUAAUUCGAUGCAACGCGAAGAACCUUACCUACUCUUGACAUCCAGCGAAUCCUUUAGAGAUAGAGGAGUGCCUUCGGGAACGCUGAGACAGGUGCUGCAUGGCUGUCGUCAGCUCGUGUUGUGAAAUGUUGGGUUAAGUCCCGCAACGAGCGCAACCCUUAUCCUUUGUUGCCAGCACGUAAUGGUGGGAACUCAAAGGAGACUGCCGGUGAUAAACCGGAGGAAGGUGGGGAUGACGUCAAGUCAUCAUGGCCCUUACGAGUAGGGCUACACACGUGCUACAAUGGCAGAUACAAAGAGAAGCGACCUCGCGAGAGCAAGCGGAACUCAUAAAGUCUGUCGUAGUCCGGAUUGGAGUCUGCAACUCGACUCCAUGAAGUCGGAAUCGCUAGUAAUCGUAGAUCAGAAUGCUACGGUGAAUACGUUCCCGGGCCUUGUACACACCGCCCGUCACACCAUGGGAGUGGGUUGCAAAAGAAGUAGGUAGCUUAACCUCGGAGGGCA